rnacentral:rRNA from 1 species
UACGUAGGGUGCGAGCGUUAAUCGGAAUUACUGGGCGUAAAGCGUGCGCAGGCGGUUCGCCAAGUCAGGUGUGAAAUCCCCGGGCUUAACCUGGGAAUUGCGCUUGAAACUAGCGGGCUUGAGUGUGGCAGAGGGGGGUGGAAUUCCACGUGUAGCAGUGAAAUGCGUAGAGAUGUGGAGGAACACCGAUGGCGAAGGCAGCCCCCUGGGUCAACACUGACGCUCAUGCACGAACGCGUGGGGAGCAAACAGG